UGCCAAGAAUCAGUGACAUUAUCACAUAAU
rnacentral:piRNA from 1 species